rnacentral:rRNA from 1 species
UACGUAGGGGGCAAGCGUUGUUCGGAAUUACUGGGCGUAAAGGGCGCGUAGGCGGCCUUCUAAGUCGGACGUGAAAUCCCUCGGCUUAACCGAGGAACUGCGUCCGAUACUGAAAGGCUUGAAUCCGGGAGAGGGAUGUGGAAUUCCAGGUGUAGCGGUGAAAUGCGUAGAUAUCUGGAGGAACACCGGUGGCGAAGGCGGCAUCCUGGACCGGUAUUGACGCUGAGGCGCGAAAGCUAGGGGAGCAAACGGG